UCAGUGGCGACCUACACCUGUGUAAGUGGAUAUGUUUACAGGGGCGGGUCCAACAUCUCAACCUGCCAGACGAACGGAACAUGGACUAACCCAGCGCUAAACUGUACAGGUGUUAAAUGCGGGAUUCCUAGCUCCAUACCUAACGCUAACGUGACGUACACCGCCACAGAGUUCCCCUCAGUGGCGACCUACACCUGUGUAAGUGGAUAUGUUUACAGGGGCGGGUCCAACACCUCAACCUGUCAGACGAACGGAACAUGGACUAACCCAGCGCUAAACUGUACAGGUGUUAAAUGCGGGAUUCCUAGCUCCAUACCUAACGCUAACGUGACGUACACCGCCACAGAGUUCCCCUCAGUGGCGACCUACACCUGUGUAAGUGGAUAUGUUUACAGGGGCGGGUCCAACAUCUCAACCUGCCAGACGAACGGAACAUGGACUAACCCAGCGCUAAACU